rnacentral:miRNA from 1 species
AUACUCUCACCGGCCAAGAGGAAUCCCUCUCAGUCGAUGAGAGUGUACCGACCGAGAGGGAUUCCUCUCGGCCGGUGAGAGUGU